AAUUAGCAUUGAAUCGGAGAUUCUUGAGUCCCAGGUUGUUCCUACUUUGGCCAUUGGAGCUCUUUCCAGUUAGCUUCUCUUCCUUGGACAGCUUCCAUACGUUUUUGAGCACUUCCUUAUUUCUGACACCAGAAGAUGACUCAGGCUUGACUUGUAUUCUCCCCGUCCAACAAUGGAAUCUGCCAUUUCUCCAAGGAGCCCUGAUUCCUUUUAUUUGAGCGUGGUACAUAGAAGCUGAGCAACUUUUUCUCUCUUUCUAAUAAAUGCUAAUUCAGGAAAAAUAAAAAACUUAUAAAACAAAACUUCUCCUCUCAAAAUAAAAAUAAUUUUACGCAGUCCCAUAAGAGAAUACACAUUUUAAAAAUAUGUACAGCCUAUGCAAUUGACUAGAAUAGUGUUGGUGAGAACAUUCACACUGGCUUUAAUUAAAAAUUAAUGGUUAAUAUUUUUGCACUUUUAUGAAGCAACAGAAAUCUGAUCUUUAGUACUGAGAUAAAGUUUUUGUGUUUGAUGCAGUUUGCCCACCCAAACUAUCUGCGGGCUACAGUUUGCCCAUUUCUAUUCUAGAUUGCUGUUGGGGUAGAUUAGAAUUGUUGAGCGAAUUGACUAAAUUGCUCCAGUCUUUUUGAAAGGCCCAGUUGUCCCUUUGAAAUAUUUAUGGGUUUUUGAAUAAAGGUAGAAAUUAACCCUCCCACUCUUAAAACUUGAAACUUAUAUGUGUCUCAUCUGAGUGGUUUCCUCAGGAAACAGACCCUCACGCAAGGGACUGAAACUCACCAGAUCACCAUAUCCAGACCAUGAGAUCUAAGGUCUCUUACCCAUCGUGAUUGCUCCCUUACCCCUCCCUCAUUCCUGUAUUCCUGCAUGUAGUGACAUCCCUUCUCUGCUAUGUAAGCCCCAAAUUUUAGUGGGUCAAGGAAAAGGAUUUGAGACUUAUCUCCUGUUCUUCUUGACUGCAGCUCACAAAUAAAGUCUUCUUUCCUGGCAAUACUUCUUGUAUCAGGCAUUGGCAUUCUGUAUGGUGAGCAAUGGGAUCUAGACCAAACCCCUGGCAUUUGGUAACAAUUUAAUUUCAUGUCACUGGGUCAUCAUUAUAUAACUUGAGUAAUAGGUGGCAUCAUCUACCUCCUUUUCCUCCUCUUUCUUCUUCC
rnacentral:lncRNA from 10 species